GCCCCCUUUCCCAGGUCAGUAUGGAACAGCCCCACCUUCUCUUUCUCUCUCUCUAUGGCAGCUUGCACUCUCUGGCUUUAACCCUUAAGGCAACGAGCAUCUGUUCCCUAUAUUCGAAGCCCAGGUUCCCUCCCUUCCCUCCCCAUUGGCUGGGUCCUGCAAUUAUCCCGCCCCCGGAAAUAUCCUGCCUCCCUGGCGGGGGCUCCCAUUCCCGCCCCCGCUGCUCAGGGUCGCUGCCACCAUCGCCAGGAUUUCGGGAAGCUACAACUUGCCUUGGCUUAUUUGCUUCUCAAGAUGUUGAACCUGCAAACCUGGUCAGGAUGGACAGAGGAAUAUGGACAGCUGACCUGCUCAAGCUGUCUCCCGCAUCCCUCCCUGCAACCUCUGAUCAUCCCCUCCCAGGGCCCUCGGAGAAAUCUGUUGAGUUCCAGGGGAGAGGAGAUGGGGACAUGGAUGGCUGGAUGGUGGAGGGAGAAAGAGGAAAAGAUGGAGAGGAGACCAAAGGCAGGAAGGGCCAGGCAGGAAGAAAGGAAGGAGGGAGGGAGGGGUGAGGCCUUUUUCAAAGCAGCUCUUUGUUUUUGGAAUCCCUUUCAUAAAGUAGUGGGGGCAGAUUUUCUUUCUCUGUGCUUUUAAAUCUCUGGUGUUAUUUCCACUGCAGGAUUAAGUGACGAAAAUGAUGUUGCACACCAAUCCAGGAAAAUGGGUGAAGGGGGCUAUGGUGAGGAAGACGAUGGUCAGAAUUCUACGGAGCCAUCUGUGAAUUCAU